rnacentral:rRNA from 1 species
ACGCUUUGUGGUUCACUGAUUUGAAGAGCUUGCUCAGAUAUGACGAUGGACAUUGCAAAGAGUGGCGAACGGGUGAGUAACACGUGGGAAACCUACCUCUUAGCAGGGGAUAACAUUUGGAAACAGAUGCUAAUACCGUAUAACAAUGACAACCGCAUGGUUGUUAUUUAAAAGAUGGUUCUGCUAUCACUAAGAGAUGGUCCCGCGGUGCAUUAGCUAGUUGGUAAGGUAAUGGCUUACCAAGGCGAUGAUGCAUAGCCGAGUUGAGAGACUGAUCGGCCACAAUGGGACUGAGACACGGCCCAUACUCCUACGGGAGGCAGCAGUAGGGAAUCUUCCACAAUGGGCGAAAGCCUGAUGGAGCAACGCCGCGUGUGUGAUGAAGGGUUUCGGCUCGUAAAACACUGUUGUAAGAGAAGAAUGACAUUGAGAGUAACUGUUCAAUGUGUGACGGUAUCUUACCAGAAAGGAACGGCUAAAUACGUGCCAGCAGCCGCGGUAAUACGUAUGUUCCAAGCGUUAUCCGGAUUUAUUGGGCGUAAAGCGAGCGCAGACGGUUAUUUAAGUCUGAAGUGAAAGCCCUCAGCUCAACUGAGGAAUUGCUUUGGAAACUGGAUGACUUGAGUGCAGUAGAGGAAAGUGGAACUCCAUGUGUAGCGGUGAAAUGCGUAGAUAUAUGGAAGAACACCAGUGGCGAAGGCGGCUUUCUGGACUGUAACUGACGUUGAGGCUCGAAAGUGUGGGUAGCAAACAGGAUUAGAUACCCUGGUAGUCCACACCGUAAACGAUGAGUGCUAGGUGUUUGAGGGUUUCCGCCCUUAAGUGCCGCAGCUAACGCAUUAAGCACUCCGCCUGGGGAGUACGACCGCAAGGUUGAAACUCAAAGGAAUUGACGGGGACCCGCACAAGCGGUGGAGCAUGUGGUUUAAUUCGAAGCAACGCGAAGAACCUUACCAGGUCUUGACAUCCCUUGACAACUCCAGAGAUGGAGCGUUCCCUUCGGGGACAAGGUGACAGGUGGUGCAUGGUUGUCGUCAGCUCGUGUCGUGAGAUGUUGGGUUAAGUCCCGCAACGAGCGCAACCCUUAUUACUAGUUGCCAGCAUUCAGUUGGGCACUCUAGUGAGACUGCCGGUGACAAACCGGAGGAAGGUGGGGAUGACGUCAAAUCAUCAUGCCCCUUAUGACCUGGGCUACACACGUGCUACAAUGGCGUAUACAACGAGUUGCCAACCCGCGAGGGUGAGCUAAUCUCUUAAAGUACGUCUCAGUUCGGAUUGUAGGCUGCAACUCGCCUACAUGAAGUCGGAAUCGCUAGUAAUCGCGGAUCAGCACGCCGCGGUGAAUACGUUCCCGGGUCUUGUACACACCGCCCGUCACACCAUGAGAGUUUGUAACACCCAAAGCCGGUGG